CAUGAUUUUAAAGGUGCUCUAAGCAACGUUUGGUGAUGUCACUUGUUGUUGACAUUUAAAAUAUUUUCAAACAACACGAGGCCGGCUCGCCCCCCCCCCCCCCCCCCCCCCCCCCCCCCCCCCAUCCCGUCCUUGCUUCGGUGCACUAACCCCUCAACACAAGACAAGCUCUUUCACACAUACUGUACGACUCUUUUUAAAAUAAAGACUUGUUGACAUGUUUAUCUCUGUCAGAGGUCAUAAAUCCAUUUUUGAAAAUGAAACAUAUCCGUUCUGAAGACAGACAAUUUCAACUAUAUAUUUUUUUUGAAUACAAUAGAUUCUUUUGAGAGUUGAAAUGAUAUUUGUUAGGUUUUUAACUUGCAAAAAAACUUUUAGAAGUGUCGUUACUUAAAUCAUGCUUAAAAUCACACUCCACAGUUGUGUUCUUUUAUUAAUUACACUGUGUUACCUAAUAAUUUUGUGAACCACUAGCAUAGGCUGCAUGCCCACUCAUUUACGCGGUUGCUAAUUGGUCCCGCUGUGCAUUUCUGAUUACGAGGCUUAAUAAAUGACUGGCUAAGUGCUUUAUCAGUGCUCUGUUUACCAGGCACUGCCCCGGGCCGUCAUUAAAAUGGUCUAAAAGAGGUGUACGUGUUAACAAGAGGGGCUUCUAAUACUGGUUGCCAUAGAACAACAAACUCAACUCUCAAAGGAAUAACCUACCUUAUUUCAAAUGAUUACCAGCCGCUACAGGAACAAAGGUAUUGUCUUCACCGUGUGUGUUAAUAUUUUAUUUUUAUUUAACCAGGUAGGCCGUUGAGAACAGGUUCUCAUUUGCACAAGAAACACAUAAGCGUGCAAGACAACAUACAGUUUCACAUUCAAUACAAUACAAGAAAACAGGAUACAAUAGGCUACACAAAGUGCAGAUUAAGUAGGCAUUGCAAAGCUGGCGCAAGGUGAGGUGUAGGUAAGUCCAUCGAUAUGCAUGAGUGAAAUGGUAAUAACACAAUACACAUGAACCGUCUAUAUCACUGCUGAGAUGUAGUAAAGA